UGAGAAACAACUUGGGCAAACAUCUUAUUGUUUAGACCACUUGGAGGAUGUUCACGUCUUUUGUAGCAACAGUUAAAGCCAGCUGGAUGCUGAAGUCAGGGUACAGUUGAUUAUUUAUUAAGCAAGUUGUAGUUUAAUGGAUCGGAAGACUGCCAUCAGUUUCAAAAGGACUGAACCCUCUUCUCCCUGAUGCCAUAGACCCGCCCCAAGACCGAGAUGGAGGAAGAUGAUACCGGGACUCCAAGGCAUCCUGGAUGAGCCAGACAUGAAGCUGGAUGGCACACUGUGCUGAGGACUUUGUGAACUUAAACCUGAAGAGGGAAACAACAGGCCCAGGACUACCAGGGGUUUGUCCCGAAUCCUGCCAAGAGAAAGGAAUGGCAAAUAAAGACACAGAACACAGAGGCUGCGGCAGGUCAGAAAGGAGGACACGCGUCUUAUCAGCAGUGAUCUAGGAGCUGCGACCUCGGGUAAGGGAGGAAGGUGGGGCCUCUGAGAACCGAAGACGUUAAUGCUGCUCAGGGUCAGCUGGUGGAAACGGGGGCCCCUUCAGUCUUCCAGUCCGGGGUUCAGCCCCACCAUAUGGGUUGUCAUCA
rnacentral:lncRNA from 1 species